GACGAACGCUGGCGGCGUGCUUAACACAUGCAAGUCGAACGGAAAGGCCCCUUCGGGGGUCCUCGAGUGGCGAACAGGUGAGUAACACGUGAGUAACCUGCCCUUGACUUCGGGAUAACUUCAGGAAACUGGGGCUAAUACCGGAUAGGAAUCCUUGCUGCAUGGUGGGGGUUGGAAAGCUUCGGCGGUUUUGGAUGGACUCGCGGCUUAUCAGCUUGUUGGUGGGGUAGUGGCUUACCAAGGCUUUGACGGGUAGCCGGCCUGAGAGGGCGACCGGCCACAUUGGGUCUGAGAUACGGCCCAGACUCCUACGGGAGGCAGCAGGGGGGAAUAUUGCACAAUGGGCGGAAGCCUGAUGCAGCAACGCCGCGUGCGGGAUGACGGCCUUCGGGUUGUAAACCGCUUUCAGCAGGGGCGAAGCUUGUGGUGACGGUACCUGCAGAAGAAGCACCGGCUAACUACGUG
rnacentral:rRNA from 1 species